GGCACCUCGAUGUCGGCUCAUCACAUCCUGGGGCUGAAGCAGGUCCCAAGGGUAUGGCUGUUCGCCAUUUAAAGUGGUACGCGAGCUGGGUUCAGAACGUCGUGAGACAGUUCGGUCCCUAUCUGCCAUGGGCGUUUGAGAUUUGAGGGAAGCUGCUCCUAGUACGAGAGGACCGGAGUGGACGCACCGCUGGUGUUCCGGUUGUCAUGCCAAUGGCAUUGCCGGGUAGCUAUGUGCGGACGGGAUAACCGCUGAAAGCAUCUAAGCGGGAAGCCCCUCCCAAGAUGAGAUCUCACUGGAACUAUAAGUUCCCUAAAGGGCCGUUGGAGACUACGACGUUGAUAGGCACGGUGUGGAAGCGCAGUAAUGCGUUGAGCUAACGUGUACUAAUUGCCCGUGAGGCUUGACCCUAUAACACCCAA
rnacentral:rRNA from 1 species